rnacentral:tmRNA from 2 species
GGGGAUGUUCGGUUUCGACGGGUAGCCGAACUCGUGAUAUAAGCAUGCGGAAGGGCAGCGGCUUCCUAAAAACGCGAAAAACAAAUAAAUGCUAAAAACAGCAAAACCAGAGUAAGCGCUCCCGCUUUCGGCGGCGCACUUGCUUGCGCAGCAUAACGUCUGCGCCGUCUGCGCGGGAGGUCACCGACCCGCGUCGGGCGUCAACAGGUGAAAACUUUCGCGGUAACGGGCAAAACCGCGAUCGCAUAGUGCCCUCGCUUGCGUCGGUUCGUUCGCACAUCUGCCGCAAGCUAAACUCAAAAGCGAAAUAAGCAUGUAGAAGGUCCCGGGCAACACUAUUCGGACAGGGGUUCAACUCCCCUCAUCUCCACCA